rnacentral:rRNA from 1 species
GGAGAAUCAGUGUUCGAUACCGGAGAGGGAGCCUUAGAAACUGCUACCACAUCUAAGGAAGGCAGCCGGCACGCAAAUUACCCACUCUCAGAACGAGGAGGUAGUGAAUUUAAAUAGCGAUGAUGAACUCUUAUGAGGCUCGUCAACCGAAAUGAGUACAAUUUAAAUCCUUUAACGAGUACCAAUUGGAGGGCAAGUCUGGUGCCAGCAGCCGCGGUAAUUCCAGCUCCAAUAGCGAAUAUUAAAUUUGUUGCAGUUAAAAAGCUCGUAGUUGGAUCCAAGGUUAGGCAUGCCUGUCUGUUCUUAGUAGCAUGACUGUGUGUGUCUGCCUUUAUUAGUUGAAUGUUCAUUAUGGUGGUCUUCAUCGACUGCUAUGAUGUGCUCAACACGUUUACCUUGAAAAAAUCAGAGCGAUCAAGGCAGGCCUUCGUGCUUGUAUGUUGUUGCAAGGAAUAAUAGAAUAGGACUUCGGUUCUAUUUUGUUGGUUUUGAGAAUUGAAGUAAUGAACAAUAGAGACAGUCGGGAGCAUUUGUAUGGUGGCGUUAGAGGUGAAAUUCUGAGAUCGUCGCCAGACAAACUACUGCGAAAGCAUUUGCCAAGGAUGUCUUCAUUAAUCAAGAACGAAAGUCAGAGGUUCGAAGACGAUCAGAUACCGUCCUAGUUCUGACCAUAAACGAUGCCGACCUACAAUCGGGGGUGGUUUAUUAUAUUGACCCUCCCGGCUGUCCUCAGGAAACUUUAAGUUGGUUCUGGGGGGAAUAUGGUCUCAAGACUGAAACUUAAAGGAAUUGACGGAAGGGCACCACCAGGAGUGGAGCCUGCGGCUUAAUUUGACCCAACACGGGGAAUCUCACCCGGUCCGGACACUGGUAGGAUGGACAGAUUGAUAGCUCUUUCUUGAUUCAGUGGGUGGUGGUGCAUGGCCGUUCUUAGUUGGUGGAGUGAUUUGUCUGGUUAAUUCCGAUAACGAACAAGACUCUGUCCUGCUAAAUAGUCCAGUGGCAUCAAUCACUAUGUGAUUACAGCUGCUGUUACUUCUUAGAGGGAUUCACGGAUUUAAACCGCAAGAAAUAGAGCAAUAACAGGUCUGUGAUGCCCUUAGAUGUCCGGGGCCGCACGCGCGCUACAUUGACAGUAGAAGCGAGUAUUUCUACCUGGUUCGAAAGAAUUGGGAAAUCUUCGAAUUACUGUCUCCACAGGGAUUGAGGUUUGCAAUUUUGCCUCAUGAACGAAAUUCCCAGUAGGCGCAAGUCAUCAGCUUGCGUCGAUUACGUCCCUGCCCUUUGUACACACCGCCCGUCGCUACUACCGAUUGAGUGCAUUAGUGAGGACCUCGGAUUGAGAACAUAGUGGCGCAAGUUACUUUGUUUUCGAAAAGUGGUUCAAAUUUGUGCAUUUAGAGAUAGUAAAAGUCGUAACAAGGUU